CUGCAGCCCGACUUGAACGGAGCUCUUUUUCUUUUUUUCUCAAAAAAGAAAAAAGCGGGAGCGGAAGGCGGAUAAAGC
rnacentral:misc_RNA from 1 species